GACGAACGCUGGCGGCGUGCUUAACACAUGCAAGUCGAACGGAAAGGCCCUGCUUUUGUGGGGUGCUCGAGUGGCGAACGGGUGAGUAACACGUGAGUAACCUGCCCUUGACUUUGGGAUAACUUCAGGAAACUGGGGCUAAUACCGGAUAGGAGCUCCUGCUGCAUGGUGGGGGUUGGAAAGUUUCGGCGGUUGGGGAUGGACUCGCGGCUUAUCAGCUUGUUGGUGGGGUAGUGGCUUACCAAGGCUUUGACGGGUAGCCGGCCUGAGAGGGUGACCGGCCACAUUGGGACUGAGAUACGGCCCAGACUCGUACGGGAGGCAGCAGUGGGGAAUAUUGCACAAUGGGCGGAAGCCUGAUGCAGCAACGCCGCGUGCGGGAUGACGGCCUUCGGGUUGUAAACCGCUUUCGCCUGUGACGAAGCGUGAGUGACGGUAAUGGGUAAAGAAGCACCGGCUAACUACGUGCCAGCAGCCGCGGUGAUACGUAGGGUGCGAGCGUUGUCCGGAUUUAUUGGGCGUAAAGGGCUCGUAGGUGGUUGAUCGCGUCGGAAGUGUAAUCUUGGGGCUUAACCCUGAGCGUGCUUUCGAUACGGGUUGACUUGAGGAAGGUAGGGGAGAAUGGAGUUCCUGGUGGAGCGGUGGAAUGCGCAGAUAUCAGGAGGAACACCAGUGGCGAAGGCGGUUCUCUGGGCCUUUCCUGACGCUGAGGAGCGAAAGCGUGGGGAGCGAACAGGCUUAGAUACCCUGGUAGUCCACGCUGUAAACGGUGGGUACUAGGUGUGGGGUCCAUUCCACGGGUUCCGUGCCGUAGCUAACGCUUUAAGUACCCCGCCUGGGGAGUACGGCCGCAAGGCUAAAACUCAAAGGAAUUGACGGGGCCCCGCACAAGCGGCGGAGCAUGCGGAUUAAUUCGAUGCAACGCGUAGAACCUUACCUGGGUUUGACAUGGAUCGGGAGUGCUCAGAGAUGGGUGUGCCUCUUUUGGGGUCGGUUCACAGGUGGUGCAUGGCUGUCGUCAGCUCGUGUCGUGAGAUGUUGGGUUAAGUCCCGCAACGAGCGCAACCCUUGUUCACUGUUGCCAGCACGUUAUGGUGGGGACUCAGUGGAGACCGCCGGGGUCAACUCGGAGGAAGGUGGGGAUGACGUCAAGUCAUCAUGCCCCUUAUGUCCAGGGCUUCACGCAUGCUACAAUGGCUGGUACAGAGAGUGGCGAGCCUGUGAGGGUGAGCGAAUCUCGGAAAGCCGGUCUCAGUUCGGAUUGGGGUCUGCAACUCGACCUCAUGAAGUCGGAGUCGCUAGUAAUCGCAGAUCAGCAACGCUGCGGUGAAUACGUUCCCGGG
rnacentral:rRNA from 1 species